rnacentral:rRNA from 1 species
UACGAACCGUGCGAACGUUGUUCGGAAUCACUGGGCUUAAAGGGCGCGUAGGCGGGCUGCCAAGUCUGGGGUGAAAUCCCACGGCUCAACCGUGGAACUGCCUCGGAUACUGGCGGCCUCGAGGGAGGUAGGGGCGUGCGGAACUGUGGGUGGAGCGGUGAAAUGCGUUGAUAUCCACAGGAACUCCGGUGGCGAAGGCGGCACGCUGGACCUCUUCUGACGCUGAGGCGCGAAAGCCAGGGGAGCAAACGGG